rnacentral:tRNA from 2 species
AAGGUUUUAAGUUAAUUUUAAACUAUUAUCCUUCAAAGUUAAAAAUAUAAUAAUUAUAAGCCUUA